rnacentral:rRNA from 1 species
AGCGUACACGGUGGAUGCCUUGGCAAUCAGAGGCGAUGAAGGACGUGCUAAUCUGCGAUAAGCUUGGGUGAGUUGAUAAGAAGCGUUUAACCCAAGAUUUCCGAAUGGGGAAACCCAGUAGAUGAAGAAUCUACUAUCACUUGUUGAAUACAUAGGCAAGUGAAGCAAACCGGGAGAACUGAAACAUCUAAGUACCCCGAGGAAAAGAAAUCAACCGAGAUUCUGUCAGUAGCGGCGAGCGAAAGCGGAAGAGCCUGUAAGUGAUAGCAGUUUUGUUAGGAGAAUGUGUUGGGAAGCACAAUCAAAGAGGGUGAUAAUCCCGUAUCCGAAAACAUUAUUGUGGUACUAAGCUAACGAAAAGUAGAGCGGGACACGAGAAAUCCUGUUUGAAGAUGGGGGGACCAUCCUCCAAGGCUAAAUACUCCUGAUUGACCGAUAGUGAACCAGUACUGUGAAGGAAAGGCGAAAAGAACCCCAGUGAGGGGAGUGAAAUAGAACCUGAAACCGUGUACGUACAAGCAGUGGGAGCAGAUUUAUUCUGUGACUGCGUACCUUUUGUAUAAUGGGUCAGCGACUUAUAUUUUGUAGCAAGGUUAACUGAAUAAGGGAGCCGAAGGGAAACCGAGUCUUAACUGGGCGAAGAGUUGCAAGGUAUAGACCCGAAACCCGGUGAUCUAGCCAUGGGCAGGUUGAAGAUUGGGUAACACUAAUUGGAGGACCGAACCGACUAAUGUUGAAAAAUUAGCGGAUGACUUGUGGCUGGGGGUGAAAGGCCAAUCAAACCGGGAGAUAGCUGGUUCUCCCCGAAAUCUAUUUAGGUAGAGCCUUGAGCGGACACCUUCGGGGGUAGAGCACUGUUUCGGCUAGGGGUCCAUCCCGGAUUACCAACCCGAUGCAAACUACGAAUACCGAAGAGUGAUACUCAGGAGACACACGGCGGGUGCUAACGUCCGUCGUGGAGAGGGAAACAACCCAGACCGCCAGCUAAGGUCCCAAAGUCUAUAUUAAGUGGGAAACGAAGUGGGAAGGCUUAGACAGCUAGGAUGUUGGCUUAGAAGCAGCCAUCAUUUAAAGAAAGCGUAAUAGCUCACUAGUCGAGUCGGCCUGCGCGGAAGAUGUAACGGGGCUCAAAUAUAGCACCGAAGCUGCGGCAUCAGACGAAAGUCUGUUGGGUAGGGGAGCGUUGUGUAAGCGGAUGAAGGUGUGUUGAGAAGCAUGCUGGACGUAUCACAAGUGCGAAUGCUGACAUAAGUAACGAUAAAACGGGUGAAAAACCCGUUCGCCGGAAGACCAAGGGUUCCUGUCCAACGUUAAUCGGGGCAGGGUGAGUCGGCCCCUAAGGCGAGGCUGAAAAGCGUAGUCGAUGGGAAACGGGUUAAUAUUCCCGUACUUGGUAAAGCUGCGAUGUGGGGACGGAGCAGGUUAGGUUAUCGUACUGUUGGAUAUGUACGUUUAAGUUGGUAGGUGGGAAGUUUAGGCAAAUCCGGACUUCCUUAACACUGAGAGAUGAUGACGAGGCUCUACGGAGCUGAAGUAACUGAUACCACACUUCCAGGAAAAGCCACUAAGCGAAAGGCUUUACUAAACCGUACUGAAAACCGACACAGGUGGUCAGGUAGAGAAUACUCAGGCGCUUGAGAGAACUCGGGUGAAGGAACUAGGCAAAAUAGCACCGUAACUUCGGGAGAAGGUGCGCCGGCGUAGAUUGUAGUCCCUUGCGGGCGAAGGUUGAACCGGUCGAAGAUACCAGCUGGCUGCAACUGUUUAUUAAAAACACAGCACUCUGCAAACACGAAAGUGGACGUAUAGGGUGUGACGCCUGCCCGGUGCUGGAAGGUUAAUUGAAGAUGUGAGAGCAUCGGAUCGAAGCCCCAGUAAACGGCGGCCGUAACUAUAACGGUCCUAAGGUAGCGAAAUUCCUUGUCGGGUAAGUUCCGACCUGCACGAAUGGCGUAACGAUGGCCACACUGUCUCCUCCCGAGACUCAGCGAAGUUG